rnacentral:rRNA from 1 species
AAGGAGGGUGGGUUGGGUUUUAGGGACCUGUACCGGUUCAAUAUCGCCAUGCUAGCGCAUCAGACUUGGAGGAUCCUAACAACACCUGAAUCUCUUUGAGCUAGAGUCUUGAAAGCAAGGUACUUCCCUCACACUUCGGUCCUGGAUGCACAGACAGCUAGCGGCAUAUCUUACACAUGGCAAAGUAUCUUAAAGGGUGUGCAGCUUCUGAAAGAAGGCCUGAUUUAUAGAAUUUGUGAUGGAACGGCAGUGAGUAUAUGGACCGACCCAUGGUUGAACCGAGAGGGAUCGAGGACACCCAUAACAAGGAGGGGAAGAUGCCUCUUAACAAGGGUUUGUGAGAUCAUAGACCCAGAAACAUGA